rnacentral:rRNA from 1 species
UACGUAGGUUCCGAGCGUUGUCCGGAUUUAUUGGGCGUAAAGCGAGCGCAGGUGGUUUAUUAAGUCUGGUGUAAAAGGCAGUGGCUCAACCAUUGUAUGCAUUGGAAACUGGUAGACUUGAGUGCAGGAGAGGAGAGUGGAAUUCCAUGUGUAGCGGUGAAAUGCGUAGAUAUAUGGAGGAACGCCGGUGGCGAAAGCGGCUCUCUGGCCUGUAACUGACACUGAGGCUCGAAAGCGUGGGGAGCAAACAGG